rnacentral:tRNA from 1 species
AACAUGGUGGCGCAGUGGUUAGCGUGCUCGGCUCAUAACCCAGAGGUCCUUGGUUCAAUUCCAAGCCAUGUUA